CUGCUAAUAAGGCUUGAAGCAAAUUACUACCUUUAUUAAUCCCUAGAAUUGUCACCUUGUUCGCACUUUUCAUCCGAUAGUGAACAGUGAGCAUUUGCAGAUGAGGGUGAAGAUUUCUCAAAGUUAUGAAGGCUUACUGCUGAGGUCCGACCCCUCUAAUGGCGGGAACUUUCCAUCUAGUUAGAGAAACAUAGUCUUUGUGAAGCUGACUCGAACAAUGCCACACAAGACUGAGUUUCUCUGCAGACUGCUUGGUUGAGAAUCUUGAUGGAGUCCUCUUUCUUCAUGACAUCGUUUACUUUAACACCCACAUAUUUGAAAUCCAUAAACACACUUGUGAG